rnacentral:misc_RNA from 1 species
AGUUCCCACUUACUCCUCCCCAGCAAGAGCUAACAGCCCUCCUUGGGUGUGCACUUUCUCCUCCCCUCAGGCACCUCGCGCAUUCUCCCGCCUACCUAUCAAUCAUCGUGCUCCGCUGUCCAGUUGGCUGGCCAAGGGGGCGGGGCCGUCGUGUGACGUUUGCAGCCCGCCGGCCAGGAAGCCGCGAGAUGCGUGACGAGCGAAGCGCGUGACGGAGGAGCGGUUGGCCAACGCAGUGGCGGCAGUCGGUGUAAACAAGGCCUCGCGCCGCUGCGGGUCCUGCGACCGCUCCUGGCUGGAGGUGACAGGAGGAGCCCCCGCACAGGACCUAAGAAUGCUGUGACCAGAAGAUGGGAUCGCGGAACAGCAGCAGUGCAGGAUCCGGGUCCGGAGACCCCUCCGAGGGCUUGCCCCGAAGAGGGGCUGGCCUGCGUCGGAGUGAGGAAGAGGAAGAAGAGGAUGAAGAUGUGGAUCUGGCCCAGAGGCCAAGUGAGGUUGGUGCAGGGAGGAGGUGCAGCAAAUUUACAAUUCAUUCAGGCCCUCUUGGACUCAGAGGAAGAGAAUGACAGAGCUUGGG